CACGUUUUUUUUUUACACUUCCCACUUGGCUGUAUGGCAUACAGGUGUGUGCCUACGCGCCGGGAAAAAGUUAUGUUCGUUUGACAUUUCGUUUACGCGAUGACGAUGGCAAUUUAGUCCCGUCGCGAUUAUUUCUUUAAAGUGGUGUAUAAGCCACAUAUAUUAUGAUGAAAGGAUGGUGAAGUCUUCUGGUGAGUGUUUUGAUGGUUAUUAUCGUGGAACGUUGGCAAUUAUGAGCUUCAUAUGUUCAUGACAAUGACCUAACCUCACGUUCUUUCUUUCAGUAUAAAAACAAUGGUUUAGUCCAUCGACUAGGGGGAAUGCUGUUAUAAUAUCGUCCCACGUGAUGUGGGGUCAAAGUCCACCGGCAGAGUCCAGUGUCAAAGUUCAACUAGAAUGAAUAAAGUCUAACUUCAAAAAUCAACUUCAAGGUCUUCCUUCAGGGUUUGAUUCCCCAGCCAUGACUACCAUUGGUGUUCAUGAUCUGCUUUUGCCGUCAGGGACAGUUCCUGCUGCGGUCAUUAAUGUAAUUCCAGUUUGGGUGUUAAAAUCUCUGGAUACCAUCUGGAUAUCUCUUAUUCAGGGUUAAUUUAACCUAUUAUGGAUAGUGCCAUUCUCUCAAGGUGUUAUUCUACUAAUACAUGGAGUAUUUAUCCUCAAUACAUACUCCAUGCCUUUUGUCAGGACCUGCCGUCUUGAUACUUUACUUAUCCUCUUAGGGAUAAAACCUAGUUGUUUAGGAAUAAUACUAAGUUAAGAUACCAUGUUAGAGUAAAAGAUUUGUUUCUUAAUUUACUUUAGGAUGUUUUGUAACCAACUGACUUCAUAUUGUUUUAUAGUGAAAUUGUUGAACCAAUUAUACCAUUGUUAAAAGUGAAA